rnacentral:lncRNA from 1 species
UGAGGGUGUCAGAUGUCACUCUCCUUAGCAAGGGGUUAGCCCUGUGAUCCUCGCCGUGCAGCUGCCGUAUGGACGACACCACGUUCUCCUCCUCGUCGCCGACCCAAGGAACCGCUUCCAGGUAGUCUAAACAUGAUGUGAUGCAUGCACGGAAGCCUAGUGAUUCUGCGACCUAUAGAGAGAACAAAACGUAAAAAAAAAAUGCAUACGUUAAAAACGAAAAGGAAGUUAAAUUUGCUUUGCAAUGUCCAGCUGAUCGUUCGUAAAUAAUUUGCAAAAAAAUAAAAAAAAAACAAAUAUUUUCAGACAGUCAUGCUCUAGAUCAGAUUCAGAGAAAUGAGACUGGGCAGCCUACCUAAUUUGUGACAGACCAACUAUGCAUCAACAAAAUUUCAAGAUGAUUUCAGAUAAGUUGUAGAAUAUGCAUAUUUUGUCACAGUCUGUUGCAGGGUGAGCGUACCAUAGUAAUGUGAGAAAAUAUGAACAGUAGCCCCAAAAUGCGAUAGCAUGAAAUAGACAUAGAAACAUAUUCAGCUGGAUCUAAUCAGGACCACAAUUUUGCAAGAUUGUAGUUCCAGUAAACAAUGUGUGAGUCAGUAAAGUUUCAGUUAGCAUACAGGGCAUUAAAAUUUGUGGUUUCAAAUCACUAAAAGACCCUAAAUUUGGUGAUAUGCAAGUUUAAGCUUAGUAAUUGUUUUGAACCACCACAGUUCACGCAUGCUUCAAAUGUUCAGCAUUUGUCAAUAAUACAGAUUAGAAUAUGCAUACACACAAAUGUAUAUAGCAUGCGAAGACAUUGGCAACAAGAAAAAAAACAAACAAAAAAUAUCAAAUUAGUAAACUGCGGUAGGAGAAACCUUCAAGAUUCGCAGAACUCGUGGAACAUUUUGCUUGAUAAGCCUCUGCUUGACAUCCUUGCAGUACAUCAACCCAACAGUCUCGACAUAAAUCUCCACAUCCUCACAAUCUGGCACCUCAAUGCAUGACACCGGAGACUGCCUCGAGAUUCUAUCGGCAAAAAAGGUACUAUUUUCAGCAAGAAUGCUCUUGUGAACAAUCAUCUUCACAGCUACCCCUUCCAUGCCAUGCAGCACAACCUUCAGAUCACUUGUGCCGAGCUGCCCAAACCCGACCGAGAUCUUAUGCUGCUUUGGCCGUUUCUCAGGUGCCGGUGCAGGUACUACCUUUGGCGGAUCAGGGGCAGCAACAGCAUUUGCUGGAGGGCACACUUGCUCAUCUGAAUGGGUUCUGGACCUAGU